AUGUUGGCGGAAAAUCUAUGCAUCAGUUUGCAGAUAAUAUUAAGGGAAAAGUUUCGCACCGGCGGACCGGCUGAAAAUUGCGCCCGUCCCACACGGUCGUCACGUAUCUCAAGUGGCCCCACCCACCGCCCUCCUCCUUCAGCAUACCUUAUCGCUUCAGACGACCAGAGACCAGAUCCACUCAUCCACAGAUCUCGCAUCGCUGCCAUCGCCUCCGCUCCGCAUCUCGCUUCCACCUCAUCCCGCGCGUCGCCGCCGAGACCCUCUGCAACCGGCGACGCGGUGCCGGCCGGGCAUGGCCACCCCCUCCCCCGGUUAUAUCUUCUCGGCUGCCCCGCCACCAUUUUUCCCCUUUUGAUGAAGAGAAAUGCCACCCUCUUUUUCCCUGUGCUGGAACCGGCGGGGGAAUUGCUUCAACCGACGGGCGGAUUUGCUUCAACCGGCAAGGAUGGUGGUGGGCGGCGACGGCGAUGGCAGAGGGAAAAGAUAGUGCUGGGCGGCGACGGCGACGAGCGGCGAUGGUUGAAGCAACAUGAAGGCGAAUCUGGUGUUGCAACCACCACAGCAACGACCGACGAGCGACCGGGAUGGCGAGAGUAG
rnacentral:rRNA from 1 species